rnacentral:rRNA from 1 species
AUAACAGUUGGAAACGGCUGCUAAUACCGCAUAAGCGCACAGCAUCGCAUGAUGCAGUGUGAAAAACUCCGGUGGUAUAAGAUGGACCCGCGUUGGAUUAGCUAGUUGGUGAGGUAACGGCCCACCAAGGCGACGAUCCAUAGCCGACCUGAGAGGGUGACCGGCCACAUUGGGACUGAGACACGGCCCAAACUCCUACGGGAGGCAGCAGUGGGGAAUAUUGCACAAUGGGCGAAAGCCUGAUGCAGCGACGCCGCGUGAGCGAAGAAGUAUUUCGGCAUGUAAAGCUCUAUCAGCAGGGAAGAUAAUGACGGUACCUGACUAAGAAGCACCGGCUAAACACGUGCCAGCAGCCGCGGUAAUACGUAUGGUGCAAGCGUUAUCCGGAUUUACUGGGUGUAAAGGGAGCGCAGGCGGUGCGGCAAGUCUGAUGUGAAAGCCCGGGGCUCAACCCCGGUACUGCAUUGGAAACUGUCGUACUAGAGUGUCGGAGGGGUAAGCGGAAUUCCUAGUGUAGCGGUGAAAUGCGUAGAUAUUAGGAGGAACACCAGUGGCGAAGGCGGCUUACUGGACGAUAACUGACGCUGAGGCUCGAAAGCGUGGGGAGCAAACAGGAUUAGAUACUCUGGUAGUCCACGCCGUAAACGAUGAAUACUAGGUGUUGGGGAGCAUUGCUUCUCGGUGCCG